UCCAUCAGUGGAUCUGGUGAAAUAGUUUUGGGUGAUUCAGUGAAUCUGACCUGCAGCUGUGAUUCAAACCCACCUGUUCUGAACUACACCUGGUUUAAGGAGAAUGAAAGCUCAGCUGUUGGAUCUGGACAGAGUUUCAGUGCACUACAGAGUGGAUUCUUCUACUGUGUGGCUCAGAAUGAAUUUGGAUCUCAGAGAUCAGCUGCUGUAUCAGUGACAGUUCAUCACAGAUCUAGCUGGCAUGUAGUGUUGGGGAUCAUAGUGGGAUGUGGAGGAACAAUCAUCAUUGGAGUCAUCAUCAUCAUCAUUGUUGUCCGGUUUAUAAUUAAGAGAGAAAAGAUGAAAAGAAAAUCUGCUAUAAAGGAGAAUGAGACUGCUGAUCACAGUGAUGACACAUAUACAGCUAUUGACCUCAAGACCAGAUCUUCUGAUGUGUACAACACACUCCCACCCAACAGGAAGAUGGUUCAGUAAGAGGCAGAGCACAAACAAUCAAAUCCUUUCAUCACUUCUCUGGGUGGAGCCACGGAUGAUUGACAGGGAUUAUAUAAAUGAGUUACUAAAGUGUAAUGCUUUUUCUUUUAAAAAGUUUAUGAUACAAGUUGACAAAUCAAAAUGACAUGAAAAAAAAAACUGUGUAUAAAAAUUGCUGAUGCACAUAAAUGAAAAUGUUAAAAUUAAUUCAGAGGAGCAAAACUCCUGAAGAGAUGUUCAGUUAUACGAGCUCACUGCUAUUACAUUUCAAAAUCUUUAAAAUAUUUUUUCUGCUUUUAAAUCAUAAUAGGUCAUUUAAAAAUCAGCUACAGAAAAAUCUUGAUUGCACACCUGAUAAUUUUAAUUACGUGUCACAUGAGCUUGUUCAACACCCUCAAACCACCACCAGAGGUCACCAUCUGCUGCCUGAUGACAUGGACAUUGAUCUGACUCACCUGGUCUCAUUCAAAUUCAGUUGUUCAGCCUCGAAAUACAUAUUCUUCCAAACACCUUUUCUUUUAUAUAUCAGAAUUGUAUUUCUGAAUGUAUCCAUCCUUACCUUUCAAUCGUUUCUGGUUUCCUGAUUCCAUGCUCGCUUUACUAGUUUGCCUUUGACUCUUUGCUUUAUGUUUUGGAUUUGUUUGCUUGUAUUACCUGCUCUUGUCUUGGAUUAUGACCCACUGAUUGUUUUUGGAUUGCAGAUUCAGUACUGUCUAUUUUGUUUGUUGCUCUAAUGUUUCAAUAAAUAAUUAUGCACUAA